ACUCCUACGGGAGGCAGCAGUGGGGAAUAUUGCACAAUGGGCGCAAGCCUGAUGCAGCCAUGCCGCGUGUAUGAAGAAGGCCUUCGGGUUGUAAAGUACUUUCAGCAGUGAGGAAGGUGGGUAUGUUAAUAGCAUACUCAUUUGACGUUAGCUGCAGAAGAAGCACCGGCUAACUCCGUGCCAGCAGCCGCGGUAAUACGGAGGGUGCGAGCGUUAAUCGGAAUUACUGGGCGUAAAAGCGCAUGCAGGUGGUUUGUUAAGUCAGAUGUGAAAGCCCGGGGCUCAACCUCGGAAUUGCAUUUGAAACUGGCAAACUAGAGUACUGUAGAGGGGGGUAGAAUUUCAAGGUGUAGCGGUGAAAAUGCGUAGAGAAUCUAGAAGGAAUACCGGUAGGCGAAGGCGGCCCCCUGGACAGAUACUAGACACUCAGAUAGCGAAAAGCGUGGGGAAGCAAAACAGGAUUAGAUACCCCUGGUAAGGCGUAG
rnacentral:rRNA from 1 species